UCCCAGCAGUCCGAGUCGCAGCCACAUUUGUUGGGUCUAAAACAUCCGUAGCUUGCCUUGUAAGUCUUUUGUCAAAUCGAACCUCUUAAGGGUUCGGCGAGCAAGAGAUACUGCUUGGCUAGAGACCGGGAGACGUGAGGAGUACAAUCGGAGUAGCGGUAAAAUGCGUUGAUCCUGAUUGGACUAACAAUAGCGAAGGCACCUCACGAUAACGGUUCUGACAGUAAGGGAUGAAGGCUAGGGGC
rnacentral:rRNA from 1 species